AUAACGAAGAGUUUGAUCCUGGCUCAGGACGAACGCUGGCGGCGUGGAUUAGGCAUGCAAGUCGAACGCGAAACACCGAGCUUGCUUGGUGGAGUAGAGUGGC
rnacentral:rRNA from 1 species